ACUAACCUUAGAUUCAGAGUUGCACAAACUAUUAGACAAAGGGGCGAUCGAACCCUCGCCUUUCCCUUACACUUUCAUCAGCAACAUGUUCCUGGUACGGAAAAAGACGGGAGAUCACCGUCCUAUUAUCAACCUCAAAGAACUGAAUCAGUUCAUCACAUAUCGCCAUUUCAAGAUGGAAGGUAUCCAUCUUCUCAGGGACCUACUCUGCGUGGGAGACUGGUUCUCCAGAUUCGACCUCAAGGAUGCUUACC